AGCCGGUGAAAGACCGGUCGCGGGAGGGGCCAAGCCCCCGCGUAGCUAGGGUGCCUGCGCAUGGCGAAAUCUGUGCGUAGAAGCGCAUCGACGAAAGUACCUGUCAGAGACAGGGCGAGCAACAGACCAGGCCGUAACAUG
rnacentral:ncRNA from 1 species